rnacentral:rRNA from 1 species
UACGGGAGGGGGCUAGCGUUGUUCGGAAUUACUGGGCGUAAAGCGCGCGUAGGCGGCUUUGCAAGUCGAGUGUGAAAUCCCCAGGCUUAACCUGGGAACUGCAUUCGAGAGCUGCAUGGCUAGAGGUAUGGGAAGAGGGAAGUGGAAUUUCAGGUGUAGCGGUGAAAUGCGUAGAUAUCUGGAGGAACACCGGUGGCGAAGGCGGCAUCCUGGACCGGUAU